CGAUGGGAAUGUGACUGGUGAAGAGUAGAAGUGGAAGUGGAGUGGUGUGACUCAUCGGGGACUGAUUCCGAGCUCUUGAGGUGAGACCAACAACUGUGCCGAGAGGGAGCAAAUUCCACUCCAUCACCUGCUAGAGCUAUUACAUGGCAUUGGUUAACGCUUGGACCUAUUGGACCAAGGCAUCAAACUACUAGAGUCUAUUGUGAUGAAGAGUUGCAUGGUUGCCGACUCUCGAGUAGUGCUACACUG
rnacentral:lncRNA from 1 species